rnacentral:rRNA from 1 species
CCAUGGAGCUUUAAACCUCACCACGCACCUCUGUGUCCUCAUACCUUAAACACAAGAGAUCUAGCGUUCUAGUUUAGGUUGGGGACCACGGAGGUAUAACUUAACCUCCAUAACAAAUGGCUAACACCCUUAUCCAUGAGACACAGCUCUAAGAAUUACUAAACUAAUGCUUAUGACCCGAUAUUCGAUCAAUGAACCAAGUUA